GUCCCUGAGAGGGGUGGCUGAGGAAGUCUCAGGGAUGCCUGUGUCUGGGGGUUGCCCUGGGGUCCUUGGGAUUACACAGGGGUCAGCUCUUCCGCAUCAGGCCCUCACUGCCAACAGGCCCUGCCUCAGUGCAAGGACCCUCCAUGGACAGCAGCCAGGAGUGCAGAGGAGGAAGCUGGGAAGCUGGAGAGGGCUGAAAGCUGGAGUGCAAUGACGUGAUCUCAGCUCACUGCAACCUCUGCCUUCCAAGUUCAAGUGAUUCUCCUCCCUCGGCCUCCCAAGUAGCUGGGACUACAGGCAUGUGCCACCACGCCCAUCUAAUUUUUUGUAUUUUUUGGUAGAGACAGGGUUUCACCAUGUUAGCCAGGAUGAUCUGGAUCUCCUGACCUCGUGAUCCACCUGCUUCGGCCUCUCAAAGUGUUGAGAUUACAGGCGUGAGCCAUCGAGACUGGGGACAGGCCUAUUUAAGGAGGGGGAGAGGUGGAAGCCCAGGAGACCCAGGUGGCCUGCCAUUCCCAUGACAACCCACAUACCGGUCCCUCCUCUCCCCACAGCAGCCUCCUGGAGGACAGUGAGGUUGCCUUUGCCUGUGGAGGGUCCAGUGGGUGUAACAUGUGUGCUGGGCAGGCCACUGUGGGGGCCUGGAUGCCGGAAGAUCAGAGGCAGUGGCAGAAGACAGGGUCAAGGCAGGGCAGCUGAGGACUGCCCCAACCUGAGGGGACCCUUCUGUUGGAUGAGAAGACAAAUGCCCCCAACUCUGCUGGGGCCGCAGCAGAGCAGUCUGUGCCCCAGUGAUGGCGUCUGCAGCUGCCUGUCAUCUGCGGGGGAGGACUGAUGAGUCAUAACAAAGAUGACUCCGGGAGCCUGUGCCCAACGCACUAGAUGCUGCUCCUGGCAAUCUGUGGCAAUCUGUGCUCAGUGGCUUGUUUGAUCCUCUCGGCACCCUGUGAGGAGAAACUUGCUCUCAUUUUACAGCAGUGGAAACUGGGGACAAGUACAUACCCAUGGGCAGGCGAGAGCCUCAUGCAGCCAGGCCUGGAGCUGGGGUCUGUGAUGGGGCCUGCAGGAGUCCUCCAUGCACAUGCGUGCACAUGCACCCCAGCCCCAGCCUCAUGACUGUCUCUCUCUCUUCUCUUUCUUCCUUCUUCCUUUCCUUUCCUUUUCUUUUCUUUUUGAGACGGAGUUUCGCUCUUGUUACCCAGGCUGGAGGCUGGAGUGCAAUGGCACGAUCUCGGCUUACCGCAACCUCCGCCUCCUGGGUUCAGGCAAUUCUCCUGCCUCAGCCUCCUGAGUAGCUGGGAUUACAGGCACGCGCCACCAUGCCCAGCUAAUUUUUUGUAUUUUUAGUAGAGAUGGGGUUUCACCAUGUUGACCAGGAUGGUCUCGAUCUCUUGACCUCGUGAUCCACCCACCUCAGCCUCCCAAAUUUCUGGGAUUACAGGCUUGAGCCACCGCGCCUGGCCCUUCCUUUUCUUUUUUUCUUUUUUUGAGAUGGAGUCUCUGGCUGUCACCAGGCUGGAAUACAAUGGUGUGAUCUUGGCUCACUACAACCUCUAUCUCCCAAGUUCAAGUGAGUCUCCUGCCUCAGCCUCCUGAGUAGGGGGAUUACAGGUGCCCGCCACCAUACCCAGUUAGUUUUUGCAUUUUUAGUAACGAUUUUGGCCAGGCUGGUCUUGAACACCUGACCUCAAGUAAUCUGGCUGCCUUAGCCUCCCAAAGUGUUGAGAUUACAAGGGUGAACCACUGCACCUGGCCCCAGCCUUGUGAUUCUGAUGUUUGGGUAGGUCGAGUGAGGCCUGGUGGGGUCUGAAGAGCUCUGUGGAAAGCAAGGCUGGAGCUGUGGGGCUUCCACCACCAUCCAGGCUCCACACUUCAGAGGGGCUCAGGCUUCCCUAGAUGCCAGGCUCUUUUCUGCCUGGAGUCUAAUUCCCAGCUCUUAACAGGACUCUCCAAGGCAUGGAGUCUGGUUGGGGCCCAGGCUCUUAGGGACUCAAAUUCCCCCAACUCUAGGCCAUCAAAGUCUCCGCUUCUGCCUUCCUGAAGUGGCUCCCAGGAAGCCCCUCGACUCUAGGCCUGCAGGCCUUGCCUACCACUACUUUAGACAAUUUUGUUGAAAUUUCAGACCAAAUUGGAGUGGAGAAGUCAGCCUCUGUGGCGGUGCCAUCACAGGGCUGGGCAGACAUGAGGUCUGCAGAAUGAAUGAAUGACAUCUGACCAAGACACAGCACAUUUGAACCAGAUCAGAAGGACCAGGAGAGCCCCCUGUGGAAACAGGGAAAGGCAUUCCUGGUGGGAGGAUAGCCUAGGCAAAGGCUUGGGGUCAACAUGGUGGAAGAUGUGAUGAGGGGCCCUCCAGAAACCAUAGAGUGGCCUGAGGGCUUCCAGGCAAUCUGCUGCUCCAGAAACCCCCCCGCUGCCUCUGCCUGGGCCACAAAGCAGGCCAACUGUGCUUUGCUUGUUCUGACUCAGACCUUCCACAUGACCCUUUCAGGGCCCCUGUUUUCCCUGUCAAGUGAUACCUUUGUCUGAGGUCUGGCCUGUACAGGGUGAGGGGUCCCUGGCAUGGGUAGCUGUGGAGACCUCAUCCUGGGGCCCUGUGGGGGCAGCAUGGGUAGGGUUGGGACCUAUCUUUCUUAGGGUGGGGUUGUCCUUGAUCGGCAGGUCACACAGGGAUCAGGAACUGGCACUUGCCCAGACAGUUGGAAUGCCCAGCGUUUCCCCCCACAAUGAGCCCCAUUGUAAGAAAACUCUAGGAACAGCUAGGGGGAUGUUCAGGUAUUCAAGACAGAAUUUCCUCUCAGCUCUGGCUGGUGGCAGGGCUCACAUAGCUUGUGCCCCCACCCCAGCCCAGCCCAUAUGUUUUCCUCUGAGGCCCCUUCCCUACCUGAAAGGCCCAUCACUCUGGGCCACAGAGUGAUGAGGGCCCAGCCUAGACACUGAGCCAGAUAUCUGAGUAGGCCACGGCUCCAGCACUGGAUCCCCUCUCUGAACAACUAUAACUCCAGCAAGAAAUACCCGUGUUGUUGAGAGAACAGGCCCCAGCCAGCCCUGCCUGGCCCCUCUCUGGAGAACUGGGCCCCCAUAGUCUAGCCUAGGCCCAACCAGACCCCAGGCUGGGAAACGUGGUUUCUUGAGGCUAUGGUCAAUCCAGGGCCUUGGGUUGCUGUCUAAGGGCCCAUCUUUUGUUCCCCCCCAGCAGGUUAUGACCCCUCUUGGUCUGGGGUCCCCAUGUCCUUGGUUAUAGAGGGUACUGACUGCUGGGCACACUCAGCUGGUGGGGCAGCUGGGGCAAGGGAAGGGUGAGGCCUAAGGCAGGCCACUCCCAGGGAGCGAAGCUGGGGCUGAGCCCCGUGAUCUGUGAGACCUGUCCCUCGGGGGAAUCUGGGAGUGGCAGACCAACCCUUCCCCCAGGCCCGGCUCCAUCCUCAGAAUCCAAGCACUGAGGCUGAGGGGGUUGGCACAGAAGAGCUGAGUUUCUUACUGGUCCCAGCCCCCCAGAUUUCCACGCGUAUCCUCUUCCCUGGGCAGGAGCAGGGCGAACAGAGAGAAGAGGGGCACUGAGGACCACAGAGGGGAGUGGGGUGGGAAGAGGCUGGGCAACCGGGACAGGAGGAUGGUCCUAGAGGUGCUUUAAGAAAAGACAAGGCAUGGCUGGGCAUGGUGGCUCACACCUGUAAUCCCAGCAGUCUCAGGAAAAAAAAAAAUAAGAAAAGACAAGGCAGAGGGGUUCGGGUAUACUACAGGCCUCAGUUUCCCCUCAAGGACUGUGAGGAGUCCACCUGUCAGUGGUGGGGGAGGGCGGUCACCUCCCUCUGUGGCAGCAUUGCCCUUCUGUGCUCUCUACUGCUGUCCUGGGCAAUCCGAACCUGUCCAGGGCUGGGCCAGCCAGGGCUGCUGCUUGAGCCUGGAAACUUCCUUGUGAGCUGUGACCAUGACUAAGGUGGGGGCGGGGGUGGUACACAGUAGGUACGCCGGCAGGUUGUGGCCGAUUGAAUGCAUUCCUCUGGGUGGCAGGAACUAGGUUUCCUCGAGUUAGUCUGGGGGUGCUGGAGCCAGGCAGGACAGAGUGUGAGGUCUGGAUUUAUGCCUCUCCCCAUGCAGCCCUCCCCAAUCCCUUCUUCACCCCUCCUCUGUCCCUCAUCCCUCU